rnacentral:lncRNA from 10 species
GCUUUAUAAGAAGAAGAGAGACCUAGGAUGGCAUGCUCUUGCUCUCUUGCCAUGUGAUGUCCCCCACCCUGUUAUGACUCAGUAAGAAGGCCCUCUCCAGAUGCAGCAACGUGUCCUUGGACUUUUCAGCCUCCAGAACUGUAAGAAACAAGUGGAUUUCUUUUCUUUAUUAAUUACUCGGUCUAUGGUAUUCUGUUAUAGCAACAGAAAAUGAACUAAGACAGGUACAAAGGAGUUCUGAACCUGCUGGAGUGAACACCAGACCCUGAACUGCAGGGUUCUACCAAGGGACUGCUUGCCAUGAGGCCCACCUCAAGCUAGCUUCCUUUUCUGACCUUCAUCUCCAACUUAAACACAUGCUAUUGUCUGAGGGUGGCCCUGGCCCCUCUCCCUUCCCUUGUAGGUUUUCUAGCUAUUUCCAGUUCUGGUGUAUCUUUUGGAAGAGCAGCCGGGUGGUGUCAGGGGCCUGGGGAGACAGGGAUGCUGGCUACAAGAACCUCAGCCUUAGAGGCCUGGGACAGUUGGGAAUAGAGAACAAAGUUCCUUUCUUCUUUUGAUGAGAUUUGACUCUCAAAUAUGGCUGUCACCAUCUGCAUGGUGGGACCAUACCCUUCUUGAGGGAUGGAAAUGAUCUGGACCACAUUUGGUUUGGGAUUUUUCCCUCCCAGCCCAGACUCACUCUGGUCUGCCUUGCUGGGUGACUUUAUUGAGCUAGAGAACACAGAGGGAGUUUUUGCCCUGGGGAUAGUUGCUAAGGCUGCCUCCUCCCCUCAGGCCUGGUGAUGGCUGCUCACUCCCCCUUGUUGACUCCAUGAACAGCUGGACUCAAAUCCCUGAAAUGAAGUCCCAGAACAUGGGUUACCUGCCUUUAGGCCCAUGGCUCAGUGGGCCAGGUUUCUGCAGGACAUUCUGUGCCACAUAGCUGUUUUGAGCUCUCAGGUUCGUGAGCAUCAAAGCCAAUGUGUGUGGGCCCCAUACUCGUGUGGAUGGUUAAACAUGCUCAAAACUGGGCUGAGUGUCUGAAUAAAAGUAUCAUUGCUACAAUGAAAACCAGAGGGUGAAACAGAAAAUGAUUUUAACAGAAAAAGUUUAUUUUAAGAAGACACAAACAGCUCUAGCUAUAUAAAGAAUACAGUUCAAUUGCUGGUAGCAAGCCAGUAAGGAAUGCCUUUUUUUUUUUAAAGAAAGACAAGAAAAACCCUUUGUAAUAUCACCCCACAGAGGGCUCCCUUCCAUUUUGUGUUGGAAUCCUAAAAAGACUGAGAUCGUGAUCUCUCCUACUUUCUGCUUCUUCUUGAAAUGUUAGGGACACAUUCCCAGCUCUAGGAGAUGUGUCUUUCCUGUACCUUCCAGUUUAGGGUAUGGUCUGUAAAUUCUUGUCUCCCUUAUUUUUCUAAGUGCAUUGUUGGCAUUCAGUAAGCACUAAAUGGUAAGGGCUAACUUAACAAAAGUCCACCUCUUGACUGCAUACUAGGACUGGCCAAUGCUCAUUCCUCAGUUUGCUUUUGGCAAGUGUAGUAUUUUUGCUGCUUUUGGAUCCAAGGCACAAGCCUGGUUUCCCUUCCUAAUUCUGGAAAUCCUAAACAGAAGGCAUAAAGGAACUGUUUCAUGGAUGCUUUUAAAUAGGGAAAUCCUGAAAAUUACUUUCAUCACUGAUUUUUUAAAAUUUAGAUUUCAGUAAGUGGGUAGAUCCCUGGGCUCAAAUGACAGAAAUCAAGCUAAAGAUUCUAAGAAGCAAUUUGCUGAGCUAGGAUAAGCUGCAGCCUGAGACCUAGGUCUGAGUGGCUGAGUCCACAUCAAAUUAGAGUGCUAGCCCUCUGUAUGUCAGCCUGUUUUGAAUUGCCAAUGGAAAGAAGGUCUCAAGAGGCAAGAAAGGGCAAAUGCUUCAGGAGCCCCCACCAUCCCCUUCUUGACCAGUCCCAUCAGAUCUGGACCUAAACCAGAGAACUGAUGAGGGUGCUGGACUGUGUGUGUGUGUGUGUGUGUGUGUGUGUGUGUGCGCGCGCGCAUGCACACACGCAUGUAUGGUGUGAUUUGUGAAUUAGCCCUCACAGUCCAGGUUGAGAAACCAAACUCACACAGACACAUACAUAUCAUCCAUUCUUAUCCCACAACGUUUAUACGAGAAAAUGUGAAAAUGUGAAUCUGAGCUUCAGACUCCCAAGAAGCAUUAGAGGUGGAGAUGGGAGCAGGAUGGAGAGAGACGUGAAGAAGCUUUAGAACAGAAUUCAUUUAGAGAUUCAAAACACAGGAGGAGGUGGUGUGCUGAAUGUCUUGUGGCUGUGUUGUUGCAUGGGCAAUCCCAAGGAGCCCAUCCCAGGGGCUGAGGGUCCAGAAGGCAGGGAAAAACUGUGGGCACAGAAUAUCUUCUGCACCUCAUUGGUUUUCUUGCUAAGGCUGAGUGCUCUGUCUAGAACAGGUCCAAACUGCAUUAGGAAAUGGAUACAUGGAUAUUCUAGGUUUAAAAACCAGCCUUUGGAACCUGGUGAUUUCCCUAGGAAAUCGUAGGCUGAACUGGAAUCCUAUGGCCUGGGCUGCCAGACUUUCCAACGACAGCCCUAAACUCAUGAUACUAGUAUGAGGCAGGAAAGGGUGGACAAGGGUGGGAGUCUCCAACCACAGAUAUGAGGGAGAAGUUAUGGAACAAAAUAAGUAAGAGAACUCAGAAAUUCUCUCCUUCCAGUUUAUCCCAAACCCAGGGAAGCAGAGGCACAUUGGGUAACAAGGAUAGGUCUGGGGAAAAAAAUGAGGGUUUCUACACUGAGGUAGUCAGUAAUGAGAGAGAGAGAGAGCUCAUGAAGGACACUCUAUUGAAGAGUAAUGGUUGGCAUAUGCAGCCCCCCUCCACCUGCUCCUGUGCAGUCAGUCUGGUCUGACAAUGCAGUAGAUGGGAAGGCAAUAAACCACAUCAGCUACUGCACAACUCAGUUAUCACAUGGGGCAGCUCACAGAAAUGCUUGUCUCAGAAGACAGUCUGGAUCAGGGGUCAGCCUAAGGCUUUGCAUAGCCCAUGAGCUAAGAAUAGUUUAUAUUGGCAGGGUGCGGUAGCUCACACCUGUAAUCCCAGCACUUUGGGAGGCCGAGGUGGGCGGAUCACAAGGUCAGGAGAUCGAGAACAUCCUGGCCAACAUGGUGAAACUCUGCCUCUACUAAAAAUACAAAAAAAAAAAAAAUAUUAGCUGGGCAUGGUGGCACGCACCUAUAGUCCCAGCUACUCGGGAAGCUGAGGCAGGAGAAUUGCCUGAACCCGGGAGGUGGAGGUUGUAAUGAGCCGAGAUUGUACAAUUGCCCUCCAGCCUGGCUACAGAGAGAGACUCUGUCAAAAAAAAAGAGAGUGGUUUACAUUAUCCAAAGGUUGCAAAACAAACGAAUGAACAAACAGCAACAACAAAGAAGAAUGUGCUACAGAGACCACAUGUAGCCCACAAAGCCUAAAAUAGUUACUGUCUUAACCUUUACAGAAUUUGUCAAUCUCCCAUCUAGAUGAUGGGGGAAACCUCACCAAUCUCUGGUGAGAAGCCUCUAAGCAUCCUCGAAAAGAGAAACGAGAGGAAGUCCAGGAGAAACAAGGGAACAAUGGAAAAUAAAUGGAAAUGCCAAUCAAUUUGACUAGUGUGGCUCUAAAAGAUGCAUGGCUUGCAAUUCCACAGAAUAGUAAGGUAUGCAUGUACUAAGGAAGGAGGCCCCAACUAAAGAGAGAGCCACACUAAGGAACAUUAGGCAAAGAAUGUUCUGGAAAAGAGACUGCAUGCGGAGCUUAGUACUGAUUAGGGAAUUCUGUUAUUGUUUGAUAAGAUGGAGCUGGAAUUUGAGCCCAGGGAUUGACAGAAUAUCAAGCCAGGUGAAAUUUCUAGAACACAACUAAAUAUCUCAUGAGCAUUUAACAGUCUGAAAAUUUCUCAUAAAGAUUAAGAAGGGAAGGCUAAAGUAGACUCUGGGAAAGCUAAUAUUGGUUGGGUUGUACCCUACUUUUAAAUAAACACCAAAUACAAAAGUUUGCACUAAAAAAAGUAGAGACAUUAUGGGACAAUGACAAGAGGAAUCUCGGUUUUUCAAAAAGAAGUCACCAGAAGGUUCCCUUACAUAGGAAGUUUACCUCUAAAAAAUGAUACUUGAUAUCUAAAAAACUCAUUUUUCACACAACUUUUAGGGAAAACAUCCAUUGUACUAAGUAGGGUGCACAUAUUGAAUUUGGAGGGAAACUAAUGUUUAUAAACUGAAAAUCCAAUUUGUCUUUGGAUUAAUGAAUUAAAGAACUCUUGAACAUUUUCCCUUAAAGCAUAUAUAUUAGUUCAUUGAAAUACCUGGGAAAUUCAUGUGUCAUAAAAGUAGAAGCCAGCUGUGGGUCUUCUAUAAAUUGUAGUGCUUUAAAUGAAACCAGAUUGGGCCCAAGGGCAGGAGACCUGGAAUUGAGGCUGGGCCCCACCACUGACUCACUGUGUGACCUUGUAUAUAAGUUAUUUGACCUUUCUGGGCCUCAGCUUCCUCAUGUGUGAAAUGAGAGAGGUUGGUCCCUUUCAGCUCUAACAUUCCAAGACUGCAGAUAAAUAUAGAAAUAAGAUAAAUACAACAAUCUAGAAAUAAGAAAUAUAGCCCAAAGUAAGCUUUGGAGUCAGUAGAAAAAAGUAGCAGUGAAAUAUAAUAAAAAGAAUAAAACUUUAACCACUAGCCAGGGUAAAUAUAUCUCAUUUAAAAAUGAAUGAAAAGGUUUGUAAUUUACAAUUCAUCAGAAGACCUCAGCACAUACAUAUAUUGAUAUUUCUUCGCCAUGAUACACAUGGGGGAAGGAAUGAGUUUGAGGUGACUUGUACAAUGAGCACAAUGCUGCGUUUGCAUGCACAACAUUUUAUAAAAUUGGAUGUUAGAAAAAGCUCAAGACCACCUAAGGAAUAAAUGUCUAUAAAGCUUGGCAUUACAAAGAGGCUGAGAGGGGUUAACUAGUUGUUCCAGUUCAGAUUUUGUUUUGGAGUUCGUUGCUAUCAAAUUCUACUAUUUAGGCAAAAAUCUUAAAAUCAAAUAUACUUCUGCCAGAGCCUUACUGGAGAACAGCCACCACGGUAAAGACAGGUAUUUAAGAGCUGGCAAUACCAAACAAACUUAACACCUUUCCCUUUUUUCCAUUUGUGAGUUAAAAAAAAUCUUUUUUUUUUUUUUAAACCCAAAGCAGGCCAGAUGGGCUGGCUAAGUCUAAUCAAAGAUUUUGCAGGUUGAGCAAUUUGUUGAUCCAAUAUGAUAAGUUCUUUUUAAUUUUUUUCGAGCAUAUGCACCGGAGUCCCAUAAAACAUGAGACUCCUCAAUCUGAUAAUUUCUUAAAACCAAGCAAACAUAUGCCUGACCAAGAUAACAAUAUACACCUCUUGGCCAGAGACUGGUCCUUAUGAUGAGAGCCAGAAUAAUGGUAAAGGUUGGAAUCAGUUGGAGAGUCGUGGCUAUAGUGAUUCAGGGGCUUGAAGGAGUAACAUCACUGGAAUGCACAUACACACACACACACACACACACACACACACACACACACAUACACUCUCUCUCUCUCUCUUUCUCCCUCUCCAGGGAUGCUGCUGUUGCUGCUCCUGGAACUGCACUUUGAGAACCAUUGGCCUAGAUUUUGGGCUUUACUGAACAAAAGUAUAAUGCCCAUUUCACAUUGCUCAUUACUCAUGCAAAUUUCUUCUUGCUAACCUUAUUAAAAAUGCCCCAAAUGUGUGUCUAUAACUAUUUACUAUGUAUUCCUCUAUAAAUCUGUUUCAAAGUAUUCUAAAAUUUGCUUAUUUCAUAUUAUGUUUAUAUCAUUAUACUUUUUGCUGCCUUUUGACAAAGGCACUUCCUUAUACAUCUUUCCCACUCUCUUAUCCUUUUAAAUCCCUAAUAUCCUUGUCACUUGUAGCUGAAAUACAUGCAAAGCCUUUGAAAGGAUUGGGGGCUGUGGUAUAGAUAUAGUCUCAUUUUCACACCAAGCUGGACUGAUAGCCCAUAACAGAGAUGAAGCAGGGAAAGCAGAAGCUUGUAAAGGUAAGCUUAUUGGAGGUAAAGUUGUACCUCCAAUAAGUUUAAUAAUCACCACCAAUACUGGACGACUGACAUUGAUUGGACAUGGAUUGGACAGUUUCACCUUUCACAAACAGGACAUAUUUUCACAGACUCUUCAAUUCCUUGUGUUCUUUACUCAAAUGGUAAGUAGUAUUAAUUCCAUUUAUGUAAAAAUGUCAAUGUACAAUAUGAAUGAUCUAGGCCUUCUCAGUGGCUUUUAGUAGCCAUUUCUGAGAGUCCCUUGGUAGUAACCAUAUUGAAUAGCAUUGGAUAUCAGGACAAUUUAAUUGACCAUCAGCUAGUAACUCAAAUGAUUCCAGGCGAUUAAGAUAUUUUCUAUAUUCUGGAGUUAGGCGUCAGGGAAUUUGGCCUUUCCAUGGUGAAAAAUACACUUCUACAACUAGUUGAUGCCUAACAUUCUGCAAGUAGAACUUCAUUCCAUUGGCUUAAGGCUUUUCCCUUGUUAAAAUGCAACUGACCCUCAAAAGAGGUAGCAUUAAGCCUUAUAAUCUCAAAGUAAAUGAAUUUAUCCCUUUCCUGAGAGCAGGUUUUUCUUAGGAGGAGAAGGAAGUAGGAGGCACUGAAGAGAGUUGGUGCUGGGAAGCAAGGUUUAGGAGAAUGGAGCAGAAAGAGGAGAGGGAGGAUCCUGGUGACAGACCGUCAACUCAGUCACUCUUUUGUUGAAGGGCUGGCCUUGGGAGCAUCCCUGCUGAAAUGGGUGUUAACUUGCCACCUGGAGCAUAUUACUUAGAAAUCAACUAUGUUUUCCGAUAUUAACACUAUUAAAGAUUCUUUAAUGUAUAGGCACACAAAGACUUAUAGCAAUGGAAAAAUAGGUAGCAAUAAAAUAUUUGGUGCAACAAGAGAUAGGGAGUUAACCCCCGACCCCAAAUCAGAAGGACUAUACUUGUUCAUAGGAAGAAGAUAAACUGAUAUUACUUUAAAGAGUGCAAAUCACAGGGCUGGGACGAGGGUAAGGCACUUGCAUGGCCCUGAGAGCGGGCACCUCUUUGAAUUUUACGCCCUAGGUGCCUCGCUCACCUCACCCUAGUCCUGGCCCUAGCAAAUCAUAUUAAAGCGAAAGCUCACCAUUGUGUCACAGACUUGAUAAUGGAAGGUGGAACGAGUGAGGAACAGAGCACUGAGCAUGAACUCAUCUUUUUCCCAACUUGUUCAUUGAUGAGGAAGAGGGCAGGUGCGUGGACAGAUCUGCUCAGACUGACAGGUACAGAGAGACUGCAAUCGGGUCUGUGUUGUCCAGAUAGUUACACUGGAUGUCAGGUGCAGUGCUUGUUAGGAGAGCCUGGUAGGAUCUCCUCUGUCUUUGCACGUUCAAGGUAAUUUAUCCAGAUCAACUGGUCAGUUUGUGGUCAUUAAGCUAACAUUAAUUAUUUUGCUUCCUGUUGUCUCACUUCCUUUAUGGGUGAGUUGUUGUGCUAGGGAUGCAGUUCUAGAUCAAAGUCAGGCUAGCAGAGCCAUCUGUUGCUACUAACUGGAAUGGGGAGGAAAAAAGAGGAUAGGGACGACUUGAAAUGGAAGCUGAGCUCCUAGGGCCAACUUCAUUUCACUCAAAUCUCUUCUCUAUUCCACCUUCAAAAAUUAUUAUCAUUAUUAUUUAUACUAGUAAUUGUAGUAGUGGUGGGUUCUCUGCAAGCCUUUCUGAGAGGGGCUUUCAGCCUCUCUUCUCCAGUCUCAGCAGCGUAGGUGCAGAAGGCAGCAAACAUUGUGGUAAGUGCCUGGGUGGGAGAGAGAGUGGAGUUAUGAUAAUCAAAGGUAGGAGAGAGGUUGAGUGUUAGGAGUGGGGAAGAUGCUUUGUGUUCUGUUAAUUAGUGAUUAGUAGAAAUUUUACAGUUUGGUUGUUUAUUUGGGACGUCUACCUGUUGCAAAAUAUUAAAUGAGGCCAGGUGCAGUGGCUUACUCCUUUAAUCCCAGCACUUUGGGAGGCCAAGGCGAGAGGAUCGCUUGAGCUCAGGAGUUCAAGACCAGCGUGGGCAACAUAGCAAAACCCCCAUCUUUACAAAAAAUUAAUUUAAAAAAUUAAAUGAAUACUUCCGGUCUUAAAUGUUCUCUCUGACCAUAUGAUUUCUGCCCCAAAUCCUCUUGUGCUAAUGGGAACACCACUGCGUGGGCCACAGUGAUGAUGUAGAAGAUAUUCUAAAAAUUCCAGGCAUAUAGAGUAUUGUAGAGGAAAACAAGACUAAAGGUAACUGACAAACAUCAAGGUGUCUGAGAAUUCAGGUUCAGAAUCUUUUGGGAAAACCUCCAGAGGUAGCAAGGUGAGGGGAGAGGCAAAACCCAUUAGAAGUAGUAAACAAGAAACUUCCAGAAAAGUCCACAGAAGUAACAAGGCCUAUACUAUGUGAGUCCCAUACUCAGCUUUAACGUUCAACCAGUCAUAAUGGUUCCCAAGGAGACCCUGGUGUCCUUUCAUUUUUGCUAAGCAAAAGCACAAACGCUCCUUCAUUUACUACAGAGGAAAAUGUCUGUUUUUUGGAAUUCUAAGUCUGGAGCAGACAAAUGUGGCAUUCAUAUAUAAACUGAGGCCAGGGAUGAAUUGAUUUUAUUUUGGGCAAAAUCCCUGGAAUUUGGAAUUUGGUUAAGAACUUCACACCAAGUAGUUCUAGUACUUUCAAAAGCAACUGAGCCUAGCUGUUUUAUUAUUUUAAGUGUCGAAGUGCUGGUUGCAAGGGAGUUGGUGGGCCUGGCCUGUUUCCAGAAGUCUCAGAUUCAGAACUAUAACAACAAAGGGCCUAGGCCUAGGGCUUCUCUUGUGAGAGGCCCAAGUUUUCUCAGUACUUAGUGUGGUUUUUCAGCUGCUCUGUCCAGCUGGAGUGUGGGCAGUUGAGCUAAAAGGUGGCUUCUCAUUGGGCAAUACGACCUAUCAAAGUUGAGAUCUGCUUGUCUCUGGAACCUUACUGCAUCCUCCAGGAGGUUGACCAUUGAAUCUAUUGGGUGAGGGGUGAAGUAGGAAGGGGCUGGGGAACUCUCUUUGUGAAGCAGGCUACAAUUUCAUUCAACUGUUCUUUUUGCCUCUUGAAGACAGUAGACAAUUAACUUUCCAUCAUUGGUCAGCAGGUUUUCUUUGCUCAGUGCUUUGUCUUCCUCCCCAACCUCCCAGAAAUCAGGCAUACAAAAAUCAAAUGAAUCACUGCUCUUGCUCUGCUUAGAAAAUUGAGCUGACAAGAAUAGUUAGUGCCUAUAAGCUUCGUGGGGGGUGGGGGCAGGGAGGGGUCGCAAUGAUUAUUCUGAAGCUCUUUCAGUAUGCCAUUUACCCAGGUUCUUAUGCUCUCCCCCAGCAAGGUUAAUUGAAAGCUGGUCAAACACAGAACCUAAAUGGCAAAAAGUAGCCCUUUUGUGUGUGUGUGUGUGUGUGUGUGUGUGUGUGUGUGUGUGUGCAUUAUGGGCCAUAGCAACUGGCAAGACUGCCUUUUAGAUUUUGGAUAGAUCCUUUUAGUUUAUAUGUUCUUGGUUUUUGGAACAGAGUCGGACUUCCUUUAAACAAAACCAAACCAACCACAAACCACGAUCUGAAUUGACUGGUGGGGGGCAAGAUGCACUUACUUUCCAUUAUCCUUGAGCCUUUGAUGAUGCUGUUCCUUCAGUUAAUUACUUCCUGUAAUGAAUUUUAUAUGCAAAUGAAAUGAGAGUUCUUAGAAUGC